rnacentral:rRNA from 1 species
AUGGGUGUCUUGUAUUACAAAUAUAAGAGUGCAAAGGAAACUUACCCUGUGACGUUGCCCUACUCGUUCAUAUCCGUGUCUGAUCUCAAGCAGCUCAUCUUGUCGAGUAACCGGCACGGCGUCGGCCGUAGCCGCGGCCGCGGGCCCUGCGAGGAUAUCGCGCUCUCCAACGCCCAGACCGGCGAAGAAUAUGCAGAUGAAGAGGCAAUGAUACCACAGAAUGUAACCGUGCUGGUCCGCCGAACUGCUGGGCAAGAGUCAGAGAGUAUCGUCGUGAUGUCCUCGCGGAAAGUCAUAGAAGAUGGUUCAUUAGCUUCAAACAGAUCAGUGGUUACUGAAUCAGUCUCAAAAUCGUGUUCCUCCGCAGAAGUGAAAGAUGAAGAUGCUGCAAUCGCAGCUGUGAUUGAUGCAGCUGAACUUAAAUGGGAAGAGCAGUCAUUUAGGAGAGGACAAGCUCCUGGAAGGUUUACAUCAGGACGCCAUAAUGGCCAUGGAUCAUCAGAAAGGGAGGCACCUCCACCAGGCUAUGUGUGCCGCAGCUGCGGAGUUGCAGGCCAUUUCAUUCAACAUUGCCCACAGGAAAACCAGACGCCUCCACCUGGCUACACCUGCUACAGAUGCCGGGUUCCAGGGCAUUUUAUUCAGCACUGCCCAACCAUUGGCGAUUCCAAAUUUGACAACUACAAAAUGGCUCGGCCAGUUGCCCCGGUCGUAUCUCCAAAUCCUGCUGAUGACAUUCUAUCCGCACUUGCCCCAGCUGCAUCUGUGAGUGUAGUCGAUGACUUGCCAGCAGAACUCCACUGCCAACUAUGUAAUAAGGUGAUGGCAGAUGCGGUGUUAACAAGCAAGUGCUGCUUCGUCAGUUUCUGUGAUAAAUGUAUUCGAGAUUACAUUGUUACACAAUCGAAGUGCAUUUGUGGAGUCAAGGUCCUUGCAGACUCCCUCAUCCCCAAUCCCACAGUUAGGAGCACAAUCAGCAACUUGUUAGGAACAAGGACUUGCAGCACUGCCAGCGGUACAGGGAAGCACAGAAGUUCUUCAGGAAGCAACGCUGACCCCAAAUCACAGAGCCACACCACCUCGGCUGCUCUGGAAAGGGACGCGAAGCAAUGUAUGGACAACCAGCUAUCGGCAGCUUCUCCCGACGCCCGCCUCCAGGUCGCCACAGAAGGUGAUCAAGUUGACCGCCCUCAGAAGAAUUCUGAUCUGAAGAGCAACACUGAAGGCUCUGCAGGGCGUUCAGCAGAGAAAGCCGUACCUAGUGCCGAGCUCCCCAAACUGAAGGAUGUGAGCGAAUCAACUUUGAAGAACGGUACGAUUUCAGGGAGCUUGGAACAAAAAGUUGCUAGGCCUGAUCAGUUGAAGAAGAAGCGGAAGAAGGCAGACUCAUCCAAGGCCGUUCAUCCAAACAAUGCUGACUAUGGUUACAACGUUCCAUUUGACCCUGCAUAUUGUAACCCUUUCAACGGUGCAUAUCCCAUGGGUCCAUUUGGGGUACCUGAUCCAUACAUGUACGGCUCAAUGGGCAUGCCCUAUGGUGGUUUCCCGAUGGGUCCAUUUGGUAUGAAUCCCUUUGGCAAUAUUCCGCCGCAGGCUCUUGCCAUGCAAGGCUAUCCGCCAAACUAUCAAAGCUGGGAAAACCAGGCCGCGCUACACCGUGAUGCCGAAGCUGCUGCACGCUCAAGGCAGGUCUCCCAGGGAAACGCCGGAGCUGCUGCACGUUCAAGGCAGACCGAGAGGCCACAUGACUCUGGUGCUUGUCCCCGGCCAUCAGAGCGCAACCAGCGCAUGGGUUCUCCUCAAGGCAGAGAGCUGAGGGACAGGCCCCAGUCAAGACCCGAACCAUCAGAGCGCAACCAGUGCUUAGGUUCUCCUCACGGCAGAGAGUCCCGGGACAGGUCCCGGUCCAGAUCUAAGCCAUCAGAGCGCAGCCAGCGCUCGGUUUCUCCUCGCCGCAGAGAGUCGAGGGACAGGUCCCGGUCAAGACCGGAGAGGACUAGUAGGGACCAUGGGCGUUCCGACAGAGGUUCCAGUGACCACCACCACGAGGAUCACCAUGACAGGAAGAGAAUGCGCGUCUCUUCCACCGUCGAUGGUGACACAGAGAGCAGCCAGAGGUCCAGGCACAGUUCUAGGAGCAGCCUGAGGCGCGACGACGUGAGCGACGACGAGCAGAAUUUCAAGAGGAAGUGGGGACGAUGA